UCUACUACCUGCCCCUGCGUUUCCCUUGAUUUUUCAUUUACCCCAAAAUCCUCAAGUCUUUCUUUUCUUCCUCUCUCGAACUCCAUUAUUCUUCAACCCGUCGUUGUGCUGAAGCCUAUAAUCCCAAAUCUCUCCAGCGCCUUCUCCGAGUCUUGCCGUCGUCUCCGUGCUCUCCGGCUGUCAAAUUAAAAUCUUGAUAUCAGCUUGCUCCACGAAUCAUCCAGGAGGUUUUUCUUCCUCCACGAAUCUGCCACUACCUGUAGCAUUUGUUUGGGUAAAUGCGAAAGCUUUUUUUUUUUUUUUUUUCGAGGAUGAAAUGGUAUACGAGAUUAUUUUCCAUAGAUUUGUUUGGUAAUUUUUUGGGCAACUGUUGAUAUUAAAGAUGAUUAUUUGUUUGCUAUCUGCUGUAUUGCAUAAAAUUGCAUUCCAUGGCUUGAAUUGUAACGUCAUUUGCAGAGAGAUUUCACUACCAUGUUCGUAGCUUGUGUGAUUGCCAGGUCCCGUGUAUUAUAAGUUUCUUCAGCUGUUGAAAUGUUCCCCCAUUUUGGUGUAUUAUUGUUUUAAAACUUAUUUCUUUGGCGUCUGUCUCAGGUCGAGGCUCAUUUUUUCCUUUUGAGUUCUUACAUCAAUUUUGAUUAUUGUGGACUUCUUUUAUGUUUCUAAUGAUUAGUGGGUUGUAAAUCAUUUUAUUGCAAAAUUAAAUUUUCCAACUUGAAGUUUUAUGUUUCUAAUGAUUAGAGCAAUAAUAGUCAGCAAUAUAGAUCAGCACUGUCCCAGAUCCUAUGCACACUGGAAUCGGUCACAUCUUGAUUCUGAGUUAGGUGCAACUUUUAUUAGUAAGUAGUAGGUUAAAUCGAUCACACAUACUUGUUGUAAAUCAUGCACUUUCCAUGCUAUAAGACAACAUCAGUAGCCAACUCAAAUUGAAAUCGGCCCACCUAUCACCAUGUUUGGCACACUGGAAUUUUACUGAGUCUUUUGUCCUUUUGUUUUCCUCUUCAUUUCAUUACUUGGUGCAACUUGUCUGACUAGCAUAUGGCAAGAGGCUUCGCGGAUUGUUGGUGAAGAA